UCCACAAUUAUAGUCUCCAAUCUGCACUCUUCUAUCUAUUAGAAACAUACUUCACUCAUUUUGAAAAUUUUCAUCGGCUCCCCAAAAUCAUUUCGACAGAAUCCAGCGUACAAGCUUCGUGGAUCGUGAGGACUAGCACCGCUAUUCCGAUUCAGAGAUAAGAUUAAACGACAGGCAUUACCUAAUCAGGCACUAACCAGAGGCGUUAUAAGGGUGCUCGACGGGAUGUGUUCCGGAGCAUAGUUUAUGAUAGGCCUGUCUGGAUUAAUUUCUGAGGUUUAUUUUACUUGGCUGGGUUACGCCUUCAGUUCAAGUCAGCGGGAGACAGAGAUCCGUCGGUGGCUAAAUGGUCCGGGAUCACAGCGAGUAACCGAAUGGAGUGUGCAAACGCGCGCAAAAUAAUUAUGUUAACGGCUGGUGAUGACGGGGCAGAGUUGAGGCUAGAGUUCAACUCCUUAUUUCGACUUCCGCUGUAAAACUAGCCAGUAUCUGUCUUUUGUUCCCUUGACUUAAGACUUUUAUGAAAUGUCUCUAAACAAUAUCUUUUGAUGAGCCUAGACUCUUGAAUUUCAAGUAUGUUGGUUAAUGUAUGUUGGUUAUCCGAAGCGUGAAACUAAACUUGUGAUCCUAAAGUUAGUUGUUUGUU